rnacentral:lncRNA from 14 species
GAAGCCGUUGAGGAAGAGGAUGUCCAAGAUGAAGAAGUUCAGAGUCAGUCUUCUGCUUCCUCUGAAGAUUAUAUCAUCAUCCUGCCUGAGUGCUUUGAUACCAGCCGCCCCCUGGGAGACUCCAUGUACAGCUCUGCGCUCUCCCAACCAGGCCUGGAGCGAGGGGCUGAAGGUGAACCUGGGAUUGAGUCUGGGCAGGAACCAGCUGAGGCUAGAGAGAGACUCCCGGAAAGGGAGAGCCAGCCAAAGGAGCAGAACAUGAGUGACAUCCUCACAACCUCACAGCCUCUGGAUACGAUGCCUCUAGUCCCAGAAGUGGCAGGACUUCCAGCAGCACUGUCCAGGAGCGCCCCUUGUGGACAGUAUGAGGCACCACGAGUGGAUUCACCAGUUACCAUCCAAGUUCCCCGAGUCCCCGAUCACGUCAGAGGAGAGCCCAGAGGCUCAACAGGACUCACAAACAACCGACAGAAGAGCUGUGACCACUCAAGCCCGUCGUUUCUGAAGAUCAGACCGCAGCCCUGAUGGCCCAUCUCUUUGAAAUGGGAUUCUGCGACAGGCAGCUGAACCUAAGAUUGCUGAGAAAACACAAUCACAAUAUCCUGCAGGUUGUGACAGAGCUCCUCCAAGUGAACAACAACGACUGGUACAGCCACCGCUAUUGAGGACUGGCCUCGUAUUAAAUAACUGCCUGCUGCUCAGAGGUGGUCUGUACCGUCAUGUCAUUGAGGUGUGGGUGGAAGCCCUUGCUUGCUUUUUAAUCUGAUGAAUCUAUGUCGAGCGUCCCUGAAUUGUCAAAGCCGUACCUGUUACAGUACUUUUUGGAGCAAAUCAAAGGCCAGAACUUAAAUUUUCACUUUAGAAAUGGAUAAAUGGUAGGAAGACAGUUUUCAACUUAUCUGGACAGAACUCUCUCUGCUGUAGUAUGUGGAAGCGUGUAACUUGGACUUCCUGUAGACUGCUUCUCCUUCUGCUUGUAUUGAAGUUGAGUAUUUUCCUUUGGUUCAUGUGGAUGUUUUUAAUGGGCUGUUAAAUGUUAGUUUGGUUUUUCUGUUUUUUAAAGAUUAACCUUGAAUGUUUUCAAGAAUUAUUCUAAUUUCUAUAACCAACCCCAAGCUUCAUAGCUAUGUAAAGACAGCAGAUCAAGAAAGUCAUGUCCCUAAAAGACUUAGUAAAUAAGUAACACUUUGCUUUCAGAAGACC